rnacentral:misc_RNA from 1 species
AAAAAAUAAAUCCUUCAAGAUCGCACAACUAAUGCGGAGAGUAUGUGCUGUAGCCCGACCCGAAAACCCUGAAAGUGAAAAGGAGUAACGGGUUAGCCAAGGCGGGCGCAGCUGAAGUGAUUAUACCGAAAACAGAAGCCCUAGAGAAAUCAAAAGAAAAGAAAUGUGGUCUCUUUCUCUUCGCAGAUUGUCUUCUUCGUCGUUGCAUGGCAGUUAUGGCGGCUUCAAAUGCAUCUCUUACAUGCCUUCUAGAUUCUCCACAUUUUCUCCAGGUCGUUUAGAUAAUGGCAAUGGUAGUUCCUAUUCUAAUAAUGUUGCUAGAGCAGAAAGUGAAAAGCGCAUGUGACAGUCUUCGGGAAAUUUUGGGACCAAUAUGGAUUUGUCGGCUGUGAAAGAAAAUGUCUCUGCUCCAUAUCGAAUGGGGGUUCCAAAUUUCUACAGGUCUGAAAGAUGCUGACAUGGGGAAGAAUUCUGGGCCGACGGACUUUGUAAGGGGAAUAUUAGAGCUCGAUUUUCUCAAUACAAUAUCGAGCAUAACGCUGAUAUUGUGCACAUAAAGCUAAUGCGUAAUAAUAGCUUUAUUAGUGCGAUAGAUUCCAAGGGAAAUUACAAAGUUUGUGGUUACAUCAGGAUCGAAGAAAGUGGUAGGCCAGGGAAAAGUAACUAGGUAUGCUGCGGAAGCAACUGCAGAAUAUGUUGGACGGAAGGCAAGAGAGAUGGGGUUGAAAUCGGUUGUAAUGAAGGUGGAAGGGUUCACUUACUUCAAGAAGAAAAGGCAAGCAAUCAUGAGCUUUAAAGAAGGCUUUUGUAAUUCUUGAACUGAUAGGAAUCCUAUUGUAUACAUUGAAGAUACUACUCGGUGUCCGCAUAAUGGAUGUCAACUUCCAAAGAAACGCGGAAUUUAGAUUAUAGCAUGUUAGCUAUGCAACUAAAGGGUGGAGCUAAUUAUCAAAUGCUUAGGAAGGGUUUUACACACAAAGGAGCAGAUAAAUCCCUGGGGAUGGUAAUGGAUGUUGGUAGUUAUUUUGUUUGUACUAAUGGAAUCAAGGAGAGGGUAUCUUGAACUGGUGGUGGAUGUUAGUUUGAUGAGUUCCAAUUGGUUCAAGGUUGUUAUUGUGUUGUUUAUGAGGUGACAAGCAUAUUUGUAUGGACUUGUAUUACCCUGAAACUCAUGUCUUUUAUUUAUUGAGUUUAACAUUAUGUAUCUAAAUAUCUUCUAUUCAUCUCAGCAUCUAUCUCAGAAUUAUCUGUCCUGAUGAUUGUCUGCUUCUAGGAAUGGUGGAAAUUGGUUCAUUCUUUUUGAGGAAGAUGAUGCAUUUACAAGAUCAUGCAAACUUCAAAAUUAUUUAUAUGGUAUGCAAUUCAAAUUAUUGGUUGGAA